UUUUUUUCACCCAUGUCUUUUGCGCACUUGUUGUUUCCUGGGCGGGUUCGCCCGCCACCAGGACCAAACCAUAAACCUUUUUUUUAUGCAGUUGCAAUCAGCGUCAGUAAAAACAAUGUAAUUAUUACAACUUUCAACAACGGAUCUCUUGGUUCUGGCAUCGAUGAAGAACGCAGCGAAAUGCGAUACGUAGUGUGAAUUGCAGAAUUCAGUGAAUCAUCGAAUCUUUGAACGCACAUUGCGCCCUUUGGUAUUCCAAAGGGCAUGCCUGUUCGAGCGUCAUUUGUACCUUCAAGCUUUGCUUGGUGUUGGGCGUUUUUUGUCUCCCUCUUUCUGGGAGACUCGCCUUAAAACGAUUGGCAGCCGGCCUACUGGUUUCGGAGCGCAGCACAUAUUUUGCGCUUUGUAUCAGGAGAAAAGGACGGUAAUCCAUCAAGACUCUACAUUUUUAACUUUUGACCUCGGAUCAGGUAGGGAUACCCGCUGAACUUAAG
rnacentral:rRNA from 1 species